rnacentral:lncRNA from 10 species
GGAAGAACAAACUUUUUAAUAAGCAAUGCUGAAAUAAAUGAACAGUUAUAUGCAAAAAAAGAGUAUCAAGCAAACCCUAACACCUUAUACAGAAAUUACUUUAAAAUGUAAAAUGGAUCUAAAUGUAAAACAUAAAAUUCUAGGAUUUUUAGAAGAAAAUACAGGAAAAGUCUUUGUAACCUUGGUUUUGUAAGAAAGUUCUUAGAUAGGACACCAAGGCAGUCCCUAAAAGAAAAAAUUGAUAAAUUGGACUUCAUAAAAAUAAAACAUUUUUGCUCUGUGAAUGACACUGUUAAAAGAAUGAAAAGACACAGGCCAUAGAAAAGGAGAAAAUAUUAGCUAAUCACAUAUGUGACAAAGGACUUGUAUAUAAGAUAUAUAAACAACUCUGAAAACAAUAACAACUCAAUUUUAAAAUAAGAGAGCAGAAGACAUGAACAGACACUUCACCAAAGAAGAUAUACGGUUGGUAAAUAUGCACAUGAAAAGAUGCUCAACAUCAUUAGUCAUUAGCAAAAUGAAAAUUAAAACUACAAUGAGAUACAGGUAAAUGCUUAUUAGAAUGGCAAAUAAAACAAAAACCCAGUAGCCCAAAAUGAGCAUCAACAAAAACUGACAAUAUCAAGUGCUGGUGAAGAUGUGGAGCAACUGGAACUCAUAUAUGGGAACGUAAAACAGUUCAACCACUUUGGUAAGUAAAUUUGCAGUUUACUAUAAAGCUAAAUAUAAACUUAGCAAAUGACCUAGGCAGAAAACCUAUGUUUCACACAACAACCUAUACAUUAAUUACAGCUUUGUAAUUGCCAAAAACUGCAAACAACUUUGUGUUAUUUAGGCCAAUAGAUGGUAAAUCAUUUUUCUACAGAAGAGGAAACCUAAGUAAAGUGUUGAUGGUUUUAAUAAUAACAAACAAUUUGUUCAUUGGGACUUACUCUCUCUUGCAACUGGGAACCCUCCGUCACAUGUGAGGCCUGGACUAGCCUACUAGAUGAGAGAUCCUCUAGCCACCCUAGAACCAUCUGAGUCCUCAGACAUGCAGAGUCUCAUCAAUCCCCAGCUGAGCUGGAUCUUAACUGCCCAGCCAAACUAUAGAUUCAUAAGAAGGAAUAAAUGCCAUUUUAAGCCACUAGAUUUUGGGUGGUUUGUUAAGCAGUAAGAGCUAACAGAUAAAGUUGAUAUUAAAUUAACUUGUCUCCAAUCUGGUGGACCCAAAAGCAAAUUCUUUGGGCCUCCUUUCUUUGCCUCUAAGCAAAGUAAAAAAGUGGUUCUCCAUCUUUGCUGAACAUUGGAAUUAUCUAGGGAGCUUUAAAAAAUAAUGACGUCUGGGCCAGGCGCAGUGGUUCAUGCCUGUAAUUCCAGCACUUUGGGAUGCCAAGGUGGG